rnacentral:rRNA from 1 species
AUUGAACGCUGGCGGCAGGCCUAACACAUGCAAGUCGAGCGAGCGGCGGACGGGUGAGUAAUGUAUGGGGAUCUGCCUGAUGGAGGGGGAUAACUACUGGAAACGGUAGCUAAUACCGCAUACCAUCAGAUGAACCCAGAUGGGAUUAGCUAGUAGGUGGGGUAACGGCUCACCUAGGCGACGAUCCCGAGCUGGUCUGAGAGGAUGACCAGCCACACGGGGACUGAGACACGGCCCAGCCUCGUACGGGAGGCAGCAGUGGUGAAUAUUUCACAAUGGGCGCAAUCCUGAUGUAGCCAUGCCGCGUGUAUGAAGAAGGCCUUCGGGUUGUAAAGUACUUUCAGUCGGGAGGCGUUACCGACAGAAGAAGCACCGGCUAACUCCGUGCCAGCAGCCGCGGUAAUUC